rnacentral:lncRNA from 1 species
AGACCUAUGAAGGUCGAAGGGGAAGAAAAGCUGUAUCGAUUGUUGAGAUCUGGCGACUUGUUUAAAUUUCAUCAGCCUCACUUCUAUGAACUCUCAGGACAAACUGCAACAGAGUCACAUCGAGUUGAGACUUCUCCAAGGGCCAUGGGGUUGACAUCUGUAUUCUCAGGCCUCACGUGUACCAGCUCUCUGCUCUCCUUUGCCUUGGGACGUUCCAUCCCUGGAAGUUUCCCUGCCCACAUCUUUGUAGAGAGUCCAUUCUCCAAGCUUCAGUGUGUCAUCUGUGAGGACCGUGACCCACCUGGUACAUCGCCUCAGGGCAUUCAUUUCAGGCUCCUUCUAAAUGGCCAAGUACACUCAUGGCCUUGAAUCUUCAUCCACUCAGAGCUCCAUGUGUAUUCUUCCAAGCCAUUGCUCUAUACCCGGAACCGCCUUUUCUUGAACACACCACAGGAUACCUCACCCAUCUGUUCUGUGAAGCAUUCCAAUGACAAUAACCACCUACCAUUUUGUGCUAUUAUACAGUUAUCUCCUUCCCCUUCAUCCUGUUGGUAUUGUGUAUAUUACUUAAGAUGAGCACUCUAGUUCUUUAUUUGCUUGUAAAUUAUAAGUGGUGGUGUGGUUUAUAAACUCAUGAAAAUUAUAUUUCACUUGGGAUGAAACUGGUAGAACCAUUUAUAAUAACAUCAUGUUGUUAUGUGGUAUAUAUAUUAUAUAUAGGUAUAUAUAUACACCAAUAUGAAGAGUGAAUUACAUUGUAGGUAGGGUAAUAGAUUAGCUCAAUUGUUUAGUAUAACGUCAAGCUAUUUGUGGUUCAGGUGUGAGCCCCAUAGGACUAGUUACCUUACUAUUUGCUAUAGUUGAAAACUAUAGCUCUACAAUAAGCGGCUGUUUUAAGAUGAAGAUGGUGUUACACGUAGUAUGGCAGAGACAGAGUGAUAUACUCUAAGGAACAUUGUUCAGCUAAUCAGACCUGGGUUCAAAUUCCAUCACCACUGUUUACUUGCUGUGUGCUUCCAAACAAACCCUGUAAAUCUGUUUUCUAAAAUAAAAAGUUAUGAACACAUAA